rnacentral:rRNA from 1 species
UAGGGAAUCUUCCGCAAUGGACGAAAGUCUGACGGAGCAACGCCGCGUGAGUGAUGAAGGCUUUCGGGUCGUAAAACUCUGUUGUUAGGGAAGAACAAGUACGAGAGUAACUGCUCGUACCUUGACGGUACCUAACCAGAAAGCCACGGCUAACUACGUGCCAGCAGCCGCGGUAAUACGUAGGUGGCAAGCGUUAUCCGGAAUUAUUGGGCGUAAAGCGCGCGCAGGCGGUUUCUUAAGUCUGAUGUGAAAGCCCACGGCUCAACCGUGGAGGGUCAUUGGAAACUGGGGAACUUGAG